rnacentral:misc_RNA from 1 species
GGAACGGGCACGAAGGAGUGGAGCUAAGCCCAAUGCUAAGACAUGGGAGAUCUUCAUGGACUAUUAUCUGCAAAGCGGGGAUAUCAAAUCAGCAAUUGAUUGUGUGGACAAAGCAGUUUCAAUUGGAAGGGGUGAUGGCAGCAAGUGGUUUCCAUCAUCUGCCAUUGUAACAAAAUUCAUGAGUCAUUUUAAACAACAUAAAGAUGUCGCUGGU